AUGGAUUUCCUUCCCUUUCACACAUUUAUCUUCUCCUACAGUCCACUCACCCUGCUUAUCCUGGUCCUUGGACCGGAAGGGCCCACGGGAGCCACAGUUCUGUCCUCCCUGCACCCCGGGACCUUGGCUGGGACCAGAGUCAUCCGGUUCACUUUCCAGAACGCACCUGACAGAAAUCACCCACUGGAUGGAGGCCGUGCAGCCACCGGUGCUUCCUGGGGACCCAAGGCCACCCUCGCUGAGAACACAGCUUCUGCCCGAGCCUGCGCGCGUCCCAGAGGCCCGGCGUCUGACUUCAGGGUCUGUCCCCCUGCCGCCUUAGCCCAGCUCUGCGCGAGGCUUGUGGAUCAUUUUUGAAUGUUGUGUCCAGAGCUGCGGCCCGCCGGGGUGGGCCUGUGUUUUCUCGCCCCUUUUCUCCGCCCCACCCUUGUGCUCCAGAAGCGGCCGAAGCCCACACCGCAAGGCCCAGCCCCACAGGGCCGGGUGACACACAGAUCGCGGUGGUCCACGUCCACCAAGCAGACGCAUCUUCUGGAGCCCUUCCGGGCCUUUCGCCUACCCCUGAAAAUCAGCAAAACUGCUGCGCUGUGCAGACGCCCGGCCAGGCCGAAGUCCCACCCAGGCCUCCGCGACCUCUGCCUGCGCCGCUGCUGUGCUGCAGCGUCCGGCCCGGGCUCGAAGCGGCUUCGAGGCGACACUCGGGCAGUGUGCUGAACUAACUGUCAGCUUGGACCGCCCGGGGGAAGCCAGGCAGCGCGGUUGUGGGCGCGAAAGACCCGCCUGAGGGUGGCGGCCAACGGCUAAGAGGAGAACUGGACGGGAAGAUCGGACUGUCGAUGCUCCUGGGGAGGCUUUGCCGCGGCUGGUUUCCCUGAUGCAAACUCAGCUGUUCUCAUCGUCAGAGGACGAGCUGGGUCCUCGCUGUGGCCGGGGAUGACCGCUGCUCUGCUCAGGGGAGCUCUGGUCUUUGCCCGAGACCCCUCAGCCUGGGGGCACAGGCCCUUUCCUCUACCAGCGCAGGCUCUUUGGCUCCCCCGCGGGCCUUCGGGCCUUUCCGGUGCAGAUCCUCCAUGCGGACUUGAGUGAGGCAUUGCCGUGGGCUCUGGGCUUUCAGCUGGACUAUGUGGGACCCUGGAGUCACUGAUACAUUGCAUUCGUCCUCCCCUACAGCACCUACAGAGCUACUUUGUCUUUUUCAUGGCCGCAUAGUAUUCUAUGUAAGGACGUCGCUGAAUUCCUGUGCCUUUCUGUGAUCAGCUAUGUCUUUCCCUUUAUGUUUCAGAGGUUUCAGCCCAUGACCAGCUGGUGCUGCUGCCUUGGGCCUUUAGUAAGGCAGCACCUCAUGGCCAGAAGCAGGUUUGGGAGAUUCAAGAGCGAGGGCCUCAGGGCCAUUGCAUAGCAGAGCCAGGAGCUUGCACAGAGGAAACCACAGGGCCAGACAGGAAAUGGGUAGCAGUUUUCUUUAGAGGUGAUGGACAUGUUCUGAAAUGAGAUGUGGGUGCUUUUUGCACAGUUCUGUAAAAAUGCUAAAACCAUCCGGUUAUACAUUUCAAUCAGGUGAAUUUUAGAGUAUGCAAAUAAUAUCUCAGUAGGACUAAUUUUUAAACAAAAGGAAUGAGUAUAUUGAUACAGCAAUAAUAAAUCUCCAGAUGAUUUCAGAGUGAAAGAAACUAGGUUAAAAAAAAAGGGUACAUAUUAUAUGAUCCAUUGAUAUAAACCUGUAGAAAAUGCAAACUGAUCGAUACUGGCAGAAAGCAGAUCACUGAUUUCCUGUAGGGACCAUGAGUGAAAGAGAGGGAUUUCUUUGGAGAGGCAGCAGGGAACUUCUAGAGCGCGUGCUUUCUUUUACAGUAUAUUGUUUGUGAUGAUGGUUUCACAACAGGUACUGAAUGGGACACUUCCUGGGAAGUUUAUUCCAUGUCAUUUAUACCUCAGAAAGAAUUUUCUAAGAAGUCAUUUCAUGGUCAUUACACUAUGAUUUUGGCAUUGAAACAAAGCUAUGUCCCGAAAAGCAUGGAAUGAUCUCAGUGGACAGAAAUCUUCUAUUAGUGAAACAAAUAUUCAUUAGGGUAGGAAGGACCACAGCCUCGUAUUUUCUUGCAAAAAGCAACAUGUGCCAGGGGAUGCUUAUGUGAGAGACACUGUGCUAUGCUUGUUACUGAGGACGUGUGCAAAAGGAUUGCCUGCAUUAUGCUAAUCAGUGCAAGUGAAGGUCAGGGAAAUGACCAGAUCCCUGAAGAUACAGAGUAAGAAAUUUUAAAGCAAGGGAAAUAUGAUAUAAUCGAUUCAUCUGCAAUUUCAUCCUUAAGGCUUUGUACCGUUUUUCUUUCUUACAGUUACCUAAAAUAAAGAUGUGUCUUAUAAUUGAUGGAGUCUUAGACUCAACAAUCCCAGGUUACAGGAGGCCACAGCACGCCAAGAGCCCUCUUGGGAGAGCAGGCCUGACAGGAGUCUUCAAGAACUAAACGGCUAAAGUGAGUUGGGGAUUUAGCUCAGUGGCACCAAGCCUGCCUCGCAAGCACAAAGACCUGAGUUCAAUCCCCAGUACCGGGAAACAACAAUAACAACAACAACAACCUCCCCACCCCUAUCCACACACACUAACCCAGAUUUAGGGCAUCUGCUCAGGCCCAGUUUAGUUAAGGAGCUUAUGGACAUCUUUCUCCCCCUGGUGGACAAUUUUUAAAGUGCAGCCCUACCUCUUGCAUGAAAGUCUAUUAAGGCUGGAAAUAAAUUUAAAAAGUCACUUCCAAAAAAAUGAGAACCAAGACCUGUCGUGUAAAGGUACAAGAUCCCAAUAAUGAAUGUAACUGUACUGUACACCUAAAAUGUACCAAU
ensembl:lincRNA